ensembl:lncRNA
GGAAUUUGGGAUUGGCACUGGGAAUCGGGGAUUGGCACCGGGAAUUGGGAAUGGAAAAGGGCAUUUGGGAUUGGCACCGGGAAUUCGGGAAUGGGAAAGGGAAUUGGGGAAUGUCCCCGGGAAUUGGGGACUGCCCCCGGGCACUGGGGUUCGGUGCCCACCUUCUGCAGGGAGGCGGCGGCGCCGCCCAGCAGCAGCAGCGGGGACUCCGGCCAUCUGCGCGUUCUUGACGGCCGUCACCGCGUUGGUGACACCGGGACCCGCCGUCACCGCCGCCACGCCGAUGCGGCCUGCGGGCACAGCCGGGGGCACCGGGGAGGGGAACAAGGGGGCACAAAGGUGGCACCAAGGUGGCAACAAAGGGGCAACAAGGGGGCACAAAGGUGGCACCAAGGUGGCAACAAGGGGGCACCAAGGUGGCAACAAGAUGGCGCCAAGAUGGCAACAAGGUGGCACCAAGGUGGCACCAAGAUGGGCACCAAGGUGGUGCCAAGAUGACGCCAAGGUGGCACCAAGGGGACAUCAAGGUGGCACCAAGAUAGAACCAAGAUGGCACAAAGGUGGUGCCAACGUGGUGCCAAGAUUACAAAGGUGACAUCAUGGUGACACCAAGAUGGCGCCAAGGUGGCAACAAGGGGGCAACAAGGGGGCACCAAGAUGGUGCCAAGGUGGUGCCAAGGUGGCACUAAGGUGGCAACAAGGUGGCACCAAGAUGGCUCCAAGAUGGCGCCAAGAUGGCACCAAGGUGGCACAAAGGUGGCACUAAGAUGAUGCCAAGGUGACAUCAUGGUGGCUCCAAGAUGGUGCCAAGGUGGCGCCAACAUGGUGCCAAGAUGACGCCAAGGUGGCACAAAGGUGGCACCAAGAUGGCACAAAGGUGGCGCCAACAUGGUGCCAAGAUGACACCAAGGUGACAUCAUGGUGGCACCAAGAUGGCUUCAAGAUGGCGCCAAGAUGACGCCAAGGUGACAUCAUGGUGGCUCCAGGAUGGCACCAAGGUGGCACAAAGGUGGCACCAAGGUGGCACCAAGGUGGCAACAAAGGUGGCAACAAGAUGGCUUCAAGAUGGCACCAAGGUGGCAACAAAGGUGGCCUCAAGGUGGUGCCAAGGUGACAUCAUGGUGGCACCAAGGUGGUGCCAAGGUGGCUCUAAAAUGGCGCCAAGGUGGCACCAAGAUGGACAGAUGGCCUCAGGGUGGGGCACCCCAAAACCCUCAGGAGAUGUUGGCCAUGGGGCCACCCCCUUGUGCCACCUUCAACUCUUGGGGACAAAGGGGGACAAAUGGGGACAAACGGGGACAAAUGGGGACAAACGGGGACAAACGGGGACAAAUGCCACCCUGGACACCCCAAAUGCCACCCAGGACACCCCAAACCCUCUCAGGUCACCCAGGACCCACCGGGGUGGGACACCCCAAAACCCUCUGGAGAUGUCGGCCAUAGGGGCCACCUCCAUCCCCUGGGGACAAAUGGGGACAAAACGGGGACAAAACGGGGACAAACCUCAAUCCCCUGGGGACAAACGGGGACAAAUGCCACCAUGGACACCCCAAACCCUUCAAACCCUCUCAGGUCACCCAGGAACCCCCGGGUGGGACACCCCAAAACCCUCCUGAGAUGUAGGCCAUGGGGGCCACCUCCAUCCCUUGGGGACAAAGGGGGACAAAGGGGGACAAAACAGGGACAAAUGGGGACAAAGGGGGACAAAUGCCACCAUGGACACCCCAAACCCUUCAAACCCUCUCAGGUCAUCCAAGACCCACCGG